UCUUAAACCUCCACCCAUUCUUUCUCUUUCCUCCCUCUUUCUCUCUUCUCCUCAACCUCUGUAGGACUUCAUAGACAACUUUCUCUCUCCUCUCCUUAAAUUUCUAUCUACAUUUUCAAUUUCUCACUUUAUCUCUGACCUCCCUCUUUGUCUUUCCUCUAGUUACUUUCGGAUGAUUUUGAUAUUGUGUAGCUAAAUGAUAUGGGAUUAUUGAUUAUGUUUUCUUACUUUUGUGAUUUUGAUUUCAACUCUAGCCCCCUUCUCCGAAGGGCGAAACAAUCGGCAUACGAGCUUCGCUAAUUCUCCAUUUUUGAAUCUUCUCCAUAUCUUUGGAUUCAUAGUUUUCUCUUCCCCGUUUUGAAGUCUACCUCAUAAAGUGUUGGUUGUUUUUAUUUUCGAUCAAUUUGGGAUUCAAUUUCAUGUUGAAACCCUAAAUUGUUGCGUUUGGAGGUCACAAAUUUGAAUAUAAAAUUUAUGGGUUUAUUAUACUUUCGAUUUGCUUGUUUUAUUUGUUUUUGGACAGUGGUGGAAGAAAUGUAGGAUACUAAUUUGAUUGGCAUGGUCUAGAGAUUUUGUUUUGUUUAUGAGUUGUAUGCAUUACAACUUACAAAGUUAAACUACACAAAAGUGCAACUCGGCAGAAAGUAAAUGGGAGUACGUUUUACUUAUUCAUUAGCAUCAGAGUUAAUUGUAAUAAAUUAUUUUGCUCAUUUGCUAAAAUGAGUAAAUUAUUUUGCUCAUUUAUACAAAUUAGUAAAUUAUUUUGCUCAUUUAAACAAAUGAGUAAAUUUGUUUUGCGAAUAAUUUUAGCAGAGGUUAUUGUUAAUUCGAAAAUUUCCAUGACAAUAUAAACAACAUAACAUUUUUUGGAUUCGUGAUAUAAUAACCGUGUAAAUGAGCUGAAAUACAAAGCAACUGAGCAGACAUAUACGAAAUAAUUCAGAUGAGCAAAAAAAUAAAUUAAAAGAGCAAAUUUACAAAAAUAUCAGUUAAUUACCACCUCUUUCUCUCUCCUCCAUCUUUCACUUUCAAUGGGUACUUUCUCCCUCCUCUAUCUUUCACUUCAAAUGAGAAAACUAUGUGUUGAUAUCAAUUAAUUUCAUAGUUCAUGCUUGGCCAAUUCAGACUCGUCAUAUUGAAAAUUCUUGAAUUACUUUUUUUUAAUUGAAUUUUCAAGCUUUUGUCUAUGGCAGCUUUAAUCUAUACCUAGUAUUUUAAAAAGGAAACCAAACCUAUUGCCACGUGUCCAUCCUACUACUUCCUAAUUCAUGUCAUUUACUUAUUGCCACAUGUCCAUCCUACUACUUCCUAAUUCAUGCCAUUUAUUAAAAAAAAAAAAAAAAGGGAAGGGACGUGUCAUCCUAAUAAAAAAAAAAGAAAAAAAAAAGAAGGGCAAACAAAAUCACCAUAACCGCGCAAAAGGAAACCCCCAAACUUCCCCAUUGCCAUCUUCCCAUUUACUCCAUCUCAAGUCUCCAUUUAUCAUCCUUCAAUUCAUCAGUUACAAGAUAUUAAUCUCUCCAUUAAUUGUUUCUUGAUUCUUUAAUCUCAUCAAUGUCCUAUUUCAUCUUCAAUUGGAAUGUCACAAACUUCAAUUGAAUCUCCGCUUCAAUUCGUCCUCUUAAUACAACAUUAUUCUCAAAUUCCACCUUCAAUUUGAUCCACCAUCUUCUUUAAGAGCUUCUAUUUAUAAAUCAAUUCCUCCCAAUUCCAUUAAUAAUUUAGUAAAUUAUGUCGGUUACACUUCGUAAACACAAACGGCCACUGAUUUUUCUACUCUCAUCUCUAAAUCCAAUUCUUACCCUAUUUAACACAGUAGAUAUGACAACAGUAAUGCUAUGACCGUGCGCUACCCCGACACAGCUUUGUUUCAUUGCGUAAGAUUGAGGUUGAAUGUGUACCAAGACCAGAAUAGUGAAGCCAAAUCAAGUCUUUUGAAAAUGCGCUUCCUGUGUUGAGUUGUGCCAUGUUUUUUUUUUCCCAUUUAAUUAUAGUACAGAGUAUUUGAAAAAGUAUUCUUGAUUUUGAUAUCCGGGAAAGUUAUAAACAAUGAUCCAUCAAAGAUAAGCUAUGUUUUUUUUACUCAUGUUAAAUAGUUGGACUCCCUGUGAUAUUAUUUUGGGCGGUUCUGUCCUUUUUUUAUAUCAGGAAUUGGUUUUAAGUUUCUUUCUGGACACAGGUUCUUGAGUUAAUUGUGUACCCCAGUGUUCGGUAUUCAGUAAUUCCGACAGGCCUUUUUAAAG